CCUACGUGUGGCAGCAGUGAGGAAUAUUGGUCAAUGGGCGCGCGCCUGAACCAGCCAAGUCGCGUGAGGGAUGAAGGCUCUAUGGUUCGUAAACCUCUUUUAUAAGGGAAUAAAGUGCGGGACGCGUCCCGCUUCGCAUGUACCUUAUGAAUAAGGAUCGGCUAACUCCGUGCCAGCAGCCGCGGUAAUACGGAGGAUCCGAGCGUUAUCCGGAUUUAUUGGUUUUAAAGGGUUCGUAGGCGGCCUUUUAAGUCAGCGGUGAAAGUCUGUGGCUCAACCGUGGCACUGCAGCGCGAACUGGGGGGCUUGAGUGCGCCGGAGGUAGGCGGAAUUCGUGGUGUAGCGGUGAAAUGCUUAGAUAUCACGAAGAACUCCGAUUGCGAAGGCAGCCUACCGUAGCGUGACUGACGCUGAGGCUCGAAGGUGCGGGUAUCGAACAGGAUUAGAUACCCCAGUAGUC
rnacentral:rRNA from 1 species